rnacentral:lncRNA from 1 species
UCUUUUAUUAGAAGCUAUUUUAUGUUUUAUGAAAUUGCAGUAAGUAAAUAUGAUUAAUUUAACCUCUGUGAGACUCAUAUUAUUCAUACAUUGUACAUUCCUGUGCUGUUACACUGGCUCAUUGGUAUAUAAAAUUAAAGGAUAAUUUCGUUGAUGAAAAAUUAAUGAUAUUUAAACUAUUAUAAUUCCGUUGAAAAAAUAAAAUUGUAUAACUACAUGAGCUCAUUUUAAUCCUCUUUCACAAUUCUGUGUAUAUUCUUUUAACAGGUGGUGAAGCGAAGAUAUUUUCUCUUUUCGAAAAUUUUAUAAAUUCAGAUAGCUCUACGGAGUUAAAAUUUUUUUGUUUACAACAACGACUGAGACUCGUGGUACUUCGUUCGAACCAAACGUAAACACGACUCUGGCUCGUGGUAUUUCAUUCAGAACUAACGUAAACAUGAGUCAGACUCGUGGUUCCGUUGUUCUCGAUAUUUUCUUACUUUAGUUACGUGUAAUUGUUCGUUACACUCACACAUUUAGGUUAUAAUUUCCUAAAAGAAUUAAACAAUCCUUAUACCUAUCAUGCCAGUAAAAAAGAAAAUCUAAUAUUGAUGAUGGUAGUGAGAAAUAUAUUAUUAUUGCGGAUAGUGAUUCGGUAAAUACUUCUGAUAUUGAUAGUUAUGGUAGCGAUAUUGUGUUUCCUAUUGUGUUUCAUUGUUAAUUUAAAUUAAGUAUUAAUUUACAAAUUGCUAUUGAUACAUUAUCCACUUUUAAAUAAUAAAUCAUUUUUAUUCACUGAUGAAUCGAUCAUAAUUACUUCCCAGACAUCUUAAAAGUAUUAGUUGUAUCCAAACAUGUUUAUUAUUUCACAAUUCCUAUUGUUGAGCCGAAAUAAUGUACAUGCCAUAAGACGUAUACACUUUGCGCAAGUUCGAGCACACUGCUAAAUAGCUAAAUGGUUCGACGCGUGACCGACCUUCUUGUUUAUUGUGGCCCGAGCAAUCGAGAGUUAACGGGUAGGACAAGGGGUCAAAUGAAAAGUGUGCCGUCGGCAUUGGAAUAAUUCAAAGUAUAUCACGAGGAGGUUGAACGGUCAAACUUGAACCACGCGUGACGUAUGUGUAGUGUCUGUUUAGUAUAUGUAAUGCGUGUGUAAUAUACGAAUUUAGUGUGCGUGUAAUUAUUAUUUGUGUAAUGCGUAUUUAGUUUCUGCGUGCUUAGAGUGUAUAUAGGAUAUGUGUUUCUGGCACAUGUGUAGUAUGUUUUUAUUGUUCGAACUGUACACAGUUUGUGUGUAUAGUACAUACGUUUAUUGUGUGUUAUAGUGUGCGUCCAUGGACGAUCGAUACCAAAAAAUAAGGUAACGAGGAGAUAAUAGCCGCUUUUAAAUAAAUUAAACAUACACACACACUAUAUAUAAUGAACAGAUAGACACUAUCCAUACACGGCACGUAAUAUUCAAGUGACCAUGCCCUAACCCCAAUCUCCUCGUGGUGUAUCUUGACUUAUUACAAUACCGAUAGCCUUUUUUAUAUUUCAAAUGUCAAUAAAGGGCAACAAGAAGUCGUACGACAAUCCUUAGUUAUAAAGGCGAGACUUCCCUUCACAAAGUUAUCCUAAAACGGAUCUUGAAGGAAAGUUUUCAAAUUCUACAGAGUCAUUUAAAUUUGUAAAAUCUUCGUAAAGAAAAAGUAUCUUCAGUUCCCCAGCCAUUAAUGAAAAAAUGAACACAAGAUUAUAAGGGAAAAAGCUUCGUGUUUUAAAAUGAGCCCAGGAUUUGACGAGACAGUUGGUCAAAAUACUAACUCUCAACUAGGUACAUACGGUACUUACGGAGGAGUUAUGGUACCGGGAUAAGAUCUUUAUACAUGAUACAAUUUGAUUCAGAAUAAUAAAUGUUAAUAAACUAGUACAAAUGAGUGCUAGUGGAUCCGGUCAAAUAUAUCCAGAAGAACAAUUAUCGAAUGGGUCCAAGUGAAUCAAGAUUGAUUAGAUUAAGUCACACGAGACAAUGUGUUUAGGAACUGGGUAUAUGCCACCGAUAUACAAAUUCGCGAAUAAUAUUUGGAGAGUCAGAACACCUGAGUAGCACAUCAGAACCAGACUAUAUAAAUGUGACUGGAUCACUACGAUCAGGCCAUAUGAAUUCGAGUGACCGACCUAGGCUAGAGCAUAUAGGCACUAACAGUUCAUCUAAAUCAGGACAUGUCAGUACAAGCUUCCCCAGGUGCACGAAUGAAUCACGACUAUUGAGUUUAAAUGCUCCUGGGUAAAUUAGCACAGGAACACUCUUGUCCCAAAGAGAAAUAGAAGAAGUUGGAAGUCAGUUGAGACCAGAGACAAUGAUAAAAUCAAAUACAAUUACGUUAGACAAAUAAGCAGUAGCCGGAACGGACCCAGGCACAUCUCCACGGGAGAACAAAAAGAAUAAUAGACUGAAAAUCAUUUCGGGUAUUACAGCAGUGGAGAGUAAGAUUUUAUCCUUUUUUAAAAAAAGGAACAAAGGAAAAUGACAAUCCCCUUACUCCAAAAAAAGCCCGGUGAGAAUUCCAGUCAACAAGAGCAAAUAUACUGAUGAAAGUGAAUUGCAUAUCGACACACCUUCGGAAUAUUUCGAAUAUAGUGAUUGUAACACCCCAAUGGCGGUAAAAACAAAAAGAAUUAAGGAACGAAAGAAUUGAGAGGGGGGAGGAGAAUUAAUCAAAUCGGUCAUGAGGAGGCAGAAAAAUAUAAGAGAUCUUACGAAAAGCGAAGAGGAAAGGAUAUCCUCGCAAUCAGAAAGAAAAAUAGAAUACUCCAUCAAACAAGUGGAAGUGAAUGUGUUAAUUAAUACAUUAACCGAAGUGAUUUUAAACACAAAAAAAAAUAAAUACGAGACUCCACCUAUUAUCUAAAAAAAGAUGCGGAAAUAGCGGAGAUGACUAAAGAGAAUAACGAACAUAUGAAUGGCACUUCUGAGUGGAUCCAAGGAUUAAAUAAAAAAUAAAGGGUAAGGAUUACACCGGUCAAGGAAACGAUUACUCAUAGAAAGUCUGUGGCAACGUCGCGCCCUAAAUAGUAACUACAAAACAUAGAUUGAUACAAAAAGGACACUACCAAAUUAGUAAAAGGAAACAGACCUCCCCAGUGAAAGACAAAGGGGAAGAACUUAGGAAAAGAUCUAAGAAAGGAGCGUUGGCAUAGAUAAAGAUGACACCCAGAGGGAAAAUAAUAGUAGUGAAAUUAAUGAAUGGAAAGUUCAAAUAAAUAAGAAAACACUUAGAAAAGAGAAGAUUAAAAAAAGAAUAUCAACACCAACCCAAAAGGGACAGCAGAAAAGUGAAAAGUCAGCAAAGAAUUCGCAAUAGACCGGAGGUCUAUACUUGUCAAGGUCGAAAGUGGAAAAGAAUGACUCGAAACCUACAGAGAACUUAUGAGAGCUAAGGAAGCUCUCAAGAAAACAACUGGUGUUAGGAAAACAAGGUACGGGAAUAUCUUGGUCGAAUUAAUAAAAGCAAAAGCAUCAGCAAAUGAGAUUUCAGACAAAAUAAAGACGGUUACGGAAAACCGAGUACAGUCAACACCACUACAAACUAUGGUGUCAUUGAAAGUCAAAAACAUCGAUCCGCUGAGCAAGGAAGAGCUCAGAAGCGACAUUUGUAGUGACUUAAGCAUAAGUAACAGAAACUGUGUUGACGUCAAGACACUGCUAAUAAACCCGUGGGGAAUAUGACAACCCAUAGUUAUUAUCCCCGCAUCAACUGUUCCUGCCAAUUAUAACAAUUUAAAAAUCAGAGCAGGAUUGACGGUAACAAGUAUAAAAAUCUUGCCGAAAAUCAAUAGAUGUUUUAGGUGUCAUAAAAUAGGACACACCUCAAAUCAGUGCAAAGAAGUUAGUGUUAAGAAAUGUAAAGUUGGUAUGACCGCUAGUUACUAAAAGCUAAGUUGGUACGACUCCUAACGACGUUCCUUUGUCUUAGGAGUCGACCACGCGUUAAUUGCUAAGACGCAUCCUGUGUGAUUAAACGCCUCCUGUGUGAUUAGGCGUUUUGUAUAAGAAACAAAAUAAAAGGUGUGAUAAUCAAUCCGUGUGAAUCAGCUUGAAUAUCAACCCCAACCUAUAUAAAAUAACAGUUAGCUCUGGAAAGGUACUUUGCAGGAAAUGUAGAGUUAGGAAUUACAAUAUGGAGAACUGCAUUAAUGAACCGUACUGCACCAUGUGGAGCGCUCAUGGUUUAGCAAAUAAAAAACACGUUACUGGGUCAUUGGCGUGUCCUAUAUACAGAAGAGCGAUGAAAGAGAGAAAUAGUAGAAUAAAAAGAUAAAGACUUUGCAGACAAAUUUAAAUCGCUGCAAGUUGGCACAGGAUUUAAUGUACCAAUGCGCCUAUGAAGUCAGAGCAGAUGUAACCCCAAAUUCUUUUACCCUGACGUCACCUUAGGCGACCACUUCUAAAUAUUCUCCGGACAGUUGAUACCUCUACUCCAAAUAUUCUCAGGACAGUUGAUACCUCUAAAUAUCCUCCGGACGGUUGAUACUUCUAAAUAUUAUCCGGUCAAUUAACACCUCGCCACCCUGAUAAGGAACUUCCAGGAACAAUAUCCCCUCCAUCAUUUUCAUUGUUCCUGCUUAGUAUUUAGACUCCGAAUAAUGACGGCCGAGCCAGUCUGAACUGUGAGCCGAUACUUGAACAUUGAUGAGCCAUGGGGAAUUUCUCCAAAAUAUUUUAGAAAAAACGCGUGAAGCCGAAUUAAAAAAAGUCUUCCUACCAAGGGAUAAGAAGAACGAGAACUAUUGGUGGAAUGAGAAUAUAGCCCCACUUUGAAAGAUGGAGAAUAAAAGUAGAAGGGUUGUAUUAAAUAGCCAGCAAUGUGGAGGAGUUUACCAAGAUAUAUAAGCAGAAUAAAAAGGAACUGAAAAUAUUAAUUCAGAAAGGCAAAGAACAAACGUGGAAGGAAUUUGUUGCAAUCUUAAAAUGGGAUCCAUAGGCAUUAUAGAUACACUUUUCACCACAAAAAUAAACAUAACUGCCGAAGAAGAGAGACGGGAUGGUAGUUACGAGGAAGUAACAAACGACGAUGUAUGUAUCACCGUCCAAAUGGAGGAGUUAGCGAAUGCCAUUGGACGAUUAAAUUCUAAACGGGCGGCUGGCGUGGAUGGUGUCUCUGGAACAAUAUUUAAAUUAUUAUUUAAGUAUAAAGCUCAUGACAUACUAAGCAUGCCUAAUACUAUAUACAAAAUAGAUAAAAUACCUAAAGAAUGGAAAA